rnacentral:rRNA from 1 species
GAUGAACGCUGGCGGCGUGCUUAACACAUGCAAGUCGAACGGAAAGGCCCAAGCUUGCUUGGGUACUCGAGUGGCGAACGGGUGAGUAACACGUGGGUGAUCUGCCCUGCACUUCGGGAUAAGCCUGGGAAACUGGGUCUAAUACUGGAUAGGACCACUUCUUGGAUGUUGUGGUGGAAAGUUUUUUCGGUGUGGGAUGAGCUCGCGGCCUAUCAGCUUGUUGGUGGGGUAAUGGCCUACCAAGGCGUCGACGGGUAGCCGGCCUGAGAGGGUGUACGGCCACAUUGGGACUGAGAUACGGCCCAGACUCCUACGGGAGGCAGCAGUGGGGAAUAUUGAACAAUGGGCGCAAGCCUGAUGCAGCGACGCCGCGUGGGGGAUGACGGCCUUCGGGUUGUAAACUCCUUUCGCUAGGGACGAAGCGUUUUGUGACGGUACCUGGAGAAGAAGCACCGGCUAACUACGUG